rnacentral:rRNA from 1 species
UACGUAGGGGGCAAGCGUUGUCCGGAAUCAUUGGGCGUAAAGAGCGUGUAGGCGGUCAGAAAAGUCCGCUGUGAAAACUCGAGGCUCAACUUCGAGCUGUCGGUGGAAACUUUCUGGCUAGAGUCCGGAAGAGGAGAAUGGAAUUCCUGGUGUAGCGGUGAAAUGCGCAGAUAUCAGGAAGAACACCCGUGGCGAAGGCGGUUCUCUGGGACGGUACUGACGCUGAGACGCGAAAGCGUGGGGAGCGAACAGG